GAGUUUGAUUAUGGCUCAGAUUGAACGCUGGCGGCAGGCUUAACACAUGCAAGUCGAACGGUAGCAGGAGAAAGCUUGCUUUCUUGCUGACGAGUGGCGGACGGGUGAGUAAUGCUUGGGAAUCUGGCUUAUGGAGGGGGAUAACUACUGGAAACGGUAGCUAAUACCGCGUAAUAUCGAGAGAUUAAAGACUGGGACCUACGGGCCAGUNUCCAUAAGAUGAGCCCAAGUGGGAUUAGGUAGUUGGUGGGGUAAAGGCCUACCAAGCCUCGCGAUCUCUAGCUUGGUCUGAGAGGAUGACCAGCCACACUGGAACUGAGACACGGUCCAGACUCCUACGGGAGGCAGCAGUGGGGAAUAUUGCACAAUGGGGGGAACCCUGAUGCAGCCAUGCCGCCUAAUGAAG
rnacentral:rRNA from 1 species